GUGGAUAUAGCUCAAUGGUAGAGCACCUGAUUGUGGUUCAGGACGUUGCGGGUUCAAAUCCCGUUAUCCACCCCA
rnacentral:tRNA from 1 species